CAAACGACUCUCGGCAACGGAUAUYUCGGCUCUCGCAUCGAUGAAGAACGUAGCGAAAUGCGAUACUUGGUGUGAAUUGCAGAAUCCCGUGAAUCAUCGAGUCUUUGAACGCAAGUUGCGCCCGAAGCCAUUAGGCCGAGGGCACGUCUGCCUGGGCGUCACGC
rnacentral:rRNA from 1 species